rnacentral:rRNA from 1 species
AUUGAACGCUGGCGGCAGGCCUAACACAUGCAAGUCGAACGAGUGGCGGACGGGUGAGUAAUGGCUGGGAAACUGCAUGAUGGAGGGGGAUAACUACGGGAAACGGUAGCUAAUACCGCCUACCAUCGGAUGUGCCCAGAUGGGAUUAGCUAGUAGGUGGGGUAACGGAUCACCUAGGCGGCGAGCCCUAGCUGGUCUGAGAGGAUGACCAGCCACACUGGAACUGAGACACGGUCCAGACUCCUACGGGAGGCAGCAGUGGGGAAUAUUGCACAAUGGGCGCAAUCCUGACGCAGCCAGGCCGCUUGUAUGAAGAAGGCCUUCGGGUUGUAAAGUACUGUCAGCGGGGAGGCGUUACCCGCAGAAGAAGCACCGGCUAACUCCGUGCCAGCAGCCGCGGUAAUUC